GCAGCUUCUCGUACUGCAGCCGAACUUCCUCCUUCAGUUGGUUCACUUUCUCCUGCGAGUACAGAGGGCAGGAGUGGGCAGGCAGUGACCCAGGACAGGACCUCUAAAAGAAUCAGGCCUGGGAGACCUUGCCCUGCCCCCAGAAGCACCAAGAGGCACAGGAAUCUGCUGCCAGCCCAAGGGUCAGAGCCCGACAGCACACACAGCAUGAGUGGGCAGGCGCAGGGGCACCUGGCACAAAGCUGCGCACGCACAUGGGAAUACCUUGCCACCUGAGCCCCGAGCCCGCCUCAGGUAUGCUGGCGGGCACAGCCAGAGGUGCAAAGGCACUUGACCCAACCCCCUCACAGGGAAGGCUGGACCUCCUGGAGGCCCCAGACAAUGGCAAGAGGCCUGGCACGAUGGCGAGGUGGCCAGGACACUCUGGGAACAUCAGGCCCACUGACCUCCCCUGGAACAAUUGGCCCUCAAAUUCUUGCCUGCUGGUUGCCCCAAGCCCACCCUCAGGAGGACAGGGCCCCCCAGGUGCUCUUCAGAGUCCAGGCUGAUCCCUCCAUCCAGUGCCCAGGACAUCUGAAAGGCCCUGCUGGCCCCACACAUCUCACACCACAGGCUUACUGCAUGGCUGCUUCUCCACGACCAAACCCACCAGGAGCUGGUUCAGGGAGGAUUCAGGGGUUGGAGUGAGAGCAGGAAGAGGAAGGAGGCUGGCCAGGGGGUGCCAGCCAGGGAGGAGUCCGGGGGGCUGCACUGGUCUGGCCUGCUCUCCCUCAGGGCCAACUCCUGCUACAGACAGCGCCUGGGAGAACAGUGGGAGCUGCUGCCGCUUCAAGCCUGGGAAACUGGAAGGAAGAUGGGAAAUACCUGCCUGCCGUCCCCUUCACGACCCCACCCCAGUUCACCGAAUGAGCAAAUCAGGUUGCCAAGACACUGGAAAAUGCUGGAAAACAGGGAGCAGAGGAAGCAAGGCCCAGACCCCCCACCACCAGCAGCCUCCUUUCCAUCCCAACCCCCACCUGCCUCCCCAGGGAAUGGCUAAGAGCCAAGGCCCCACUUCCCACCUGGGAAAAACCCAUAGCUGAGAUCCGACCAGAUUUCCCAGCUCAGUUCAGAGCAAGUACUCUCUGCGCAGGCAGGUGGGCUGGAGGCACCUUACACAUGCCACCGCCCCAUCCCCCCACAGCAGUGCAUGGCCUGGACUGCGUACACUGGAGCAUGCAGGAGCAGAGCAGAGUGGAACGUGGCCUGGGCUAGAAGCUCUGGAGGCCCCAGGCCACCAGGGAGACUGGGACUAGGUGGGGCCCAGGGAGGACCUUCACACCCCCAGCCCUGCCUGUCGGGCCUCAGGCCUUUGGUGAUCUGCCCGGGGCCUAUGAGGACAAAAGCAUGAAGAAUCAGGAGCCGCCAUUCCCACCCUCCACCACCUGGGCCCCCACUCCUCAGCUUUGCCGCUGCUUCCUCUGACUCCCCUCCCGGCCUGGAGCAGCGAACCCUGAGCCCCUACAUUCCUGCCCCAGGAAAGCCUCAUGUCCCUCUGGAGACUGACUGGCCAGGCCAGCUGCCAUUUUUGAUGCCAGACUAGACUGGGCAGACGGGUGAGGCUUGGGGACUCUGGGCUGUAUAAAAGUUAAUAAAUAAUAAUAAUAAAA